AACAUAUUAAUUUGUAAGAGUCCUUUAUGUAUAGUCUAUAUAUAAUUCCUCUGUGGCACCAAUCUUCUCCUACUUUGUACUCUGUCUUUUAAUUCUCCUUAUGAUUUCUUUUGAAGAACAAGCAGUCUUAAAUUUUAAUCUAGUCAAAUAUAUCAAUAUUUUACAUGUUGUUUCUUAUUAUUUGAUCUAAGCAUCACUCUCAAAAAUUUCUUUUUAAAAGUGUUCAUGAAUUUUAAGAUCUCUUCUUAUUAAAACUAAGCUUUUAAUAAAAUAAAGACACAGAGUCUUAAGUUUGUAUGAGAUGCCUAGUGGCACCAUAUAGUUUAUUUUGGUAGGCAGCAUCCUUGCAAAUAAAAGAAAAUCUAUGUGUAGUUGAUUUUAAUUGAGUUACAUUAUAGAAUAGACUCUCCUGGAGUAAAUUAUGAAAUACCUACUAGAAAAUAUAAAAAAGAUCAGUGAAUGUUAAGAGUAUAGUUAGAUAUGUAGAGUAUAUGAAAUUAUGACAAGGAUACACUCAUGUUCCAGGAGCAAGAAGUGAACCUUAAAGAAUGAUAAUGCCAUGAGGGAUUUCCUCUAGGAGAAAAAGGAAUAUUUCUGAUUCAUUGUCAACUGUCACUGCAGUAUGUGGGAUUUACUGGCUCCUAAGUUCUCAGGAUUGAGUCAAUUUAGGGAAGGCAGCAAUAUUGUCAGCCCACUCUAGGCCAGGGAGAAGUGUCUUCUCUAUUAGAUCUCAAUGUGUGCAGAGAAGGUAAGUUCAUAUAACUUAAUGGCUAGCUUUGGUUCGUGGUCAAAAUAUAUAAUUUCUUUCCAAUAAAUUAAUUAAUGCAGAAAUGGAAAACUAAUGUAUGGUAAUGUUCUACUCAGGUUUAAAAGAUGCUUUCAAAAUAGUGAAUACACUAGAAGAAUUUCAGAAGAAAAGAGUCAUUAAAGAAGGAGCAACUGCAUUUUGGCACAUACAAGCCUGAUUCGGGGCAGGGCAGUGCCUCUCCAUCCCGUUUCUGGAGAGAGGAUCCUGCUCAUUACCUGCUCAUAACCUGUGUUUUAUCCUUCAGUACAAAAGCCAUCUUGCUUCUACUCCCUGAAUCCAGCUAUAUCCUGCUCCAUCAUCUAAAUGUACAUUCUUGCUGCAUCAACCUACAAUCAGGGAGAAUAAGAAAAUGUAUUUAGUGACCUGAACUGAUAAGUGAAAGUGAAGACCUUGCCUUGGAUGGGUAAAUAUUCUUAGCCCCACUUCCUCUAUAACCACCAGACCACAUUGAUCAGAACCAGAUAGGUUGCUAUCCAAAUGAAAUAGUUUCCUAAAUCAGGUUGAGAAAAAGAUUUAUAUUAUCUCUGAAUAAACUAUUAAGCAUUUUAUGAUUCUGAAUAAUUCAUCUAUUCAACAAAUAUUUAUUUGGCUCAUAUUUUGAACAAAGAGAUGUGCUGGGAGCUGGAGUGAAUAAUGAACUAUAGAAGGAUAAGUUAGUAUUCACUGAUUCAUCUCUUCAACAAAUAUGUAUUGUCAUGAUAGGCUCUGGGCCAGCUGCUUGUGGUACAGAGGAAUAAGAUAUGGGCAGUACCUCAAAAAUCUGAAUCCACAAUAAAUAAACCAGCAAAAUUUAAAAUGUAAACUCUCUUAUUAUAUCUCAAGGAAAGUUUGUAAGAUGAGAUGUAAAUUAAUUAAUGAAUACCCCUCAUGUCUAGAGUGCUAUAGUACACUACAUUGUCAUAUAAACCAACAUUCAUUUUCCGUUCAUCCUUAUACCCACCCUGUAAGAUAGGCAUUAUAUUCAUUUUUUUGUUCAUAAGGAAAUCAACUUAGUAAGAUUAUGUAAGUUUUUCAAACUAGGAAUAACAACAGCUAGCUUUUAUUGAUAAAAAUACUGUGCAUUACAUUUUUGUAAUCUUCAUAAAAAUCCUAGAUGGUAUUGUUAUUGUUCAUAUUCUAUAAUGUGGAAACAGAGGGUGAGGGAGGCUAUGUGAAUGUUGCAAUUUCCCACAACUAGCUCUGGAACAAACAUAGAGCCCCAGUCAUCUGCCAACAAGAGUUAGGACCCCCAACCACUGCAUGACAACUCUUUAUAGUCCUGGCAGACUGAGUAGGAGGGUCAGAAUGAGAACCCCAGCCUGACUGCAGUGUUCCAGGCUCUUCCUUCUAGAUUCUGCUUCCUCUAGCUCUGGUCCACGACGAGUGACCAUGGAUGAGCUGUAGACUUUUUGAACCCUAAUGAGAUGAAACUGAAAAACAAUUACAUGGAUAGACUAUUUUCAGGCAGGCCAAUGUUCCUACAACCAGAAAGCUAGAUAAAAUACAACACUCACAUUUUUUUAAGCAUCCAAGAUUUGCAGAGGUAAAGGGGAAUUAAUUCAAGGAUUAAAGUUCUAGAGAGGAGAGAGCCUCUCAGAGGUGAGCUGAAGGUCUGAGCCUCUUUUUCCAGGGUUUUUACCAAUUCCAGAGGGAUAGGACUGGAGACAGAAACGGGGUUAAACUAUGCUGUGGGGCGGAGAAAAUGGCAAACUAUUGGCAGUUGCUACAAGGUUGGAACGAUAAGACCGGAAACUUUGGGGGCCUCAAACACGUGGCCAGUUUACCAUCCAAGACUUCACUAAUCCUGAAGUUGCAUGAGGCAAGAACUUAAAAACCUAAGUCUAAAGUCUCUGAUCAGCAGAGCUGACAUUCUUACUGUCUCUCUCUGAGUGGAGGAAACAAAAACUUACCACACUCUGAAUUAAAGCCCAGGUGGGCCAUGUCCUAGGAAAAGGAGCAAUCAGAAGUAGAGUGAGUCUCAUCAGAAUGUAACCCAGCCUCCGCAGACCUAAAUUUGGAGAAAUAAACUAAAUAGGACUUCCUAACAAUUUUAAGCUAAAAAUUGCAGCCCAUAUUUGUAUAAAUUUAGACUCUAAGUAUGAAGUAUCUAAAAAAAAAAUAGUUUUUUUUUUUCUCUUUGCUGAACCUACUGCUUCAAGUUAUAGAGCCUCCAAAUGAAAUAUAAACAAUCAGAAAUGAGCAAUAAACUUUCAUAACAACUGAUUUUUUUACAGCAUUCUUCCAAAUGCCAACAGUUAAUGCAGGGUAGUUAGUUCUUUCUGCAGAGCUAGGUGUUUGUUCAUUUUCAGGCUUCUGGAAGUGGCAUUUCUGACAUCAUUUAAUGGUUUACUGAAAAUACUUACUAGGAGUAUGAGUUUCAUCAGACACCUCUUUGCGGUCUUACGCCUUCAUUUGUUCUUAAAAAUAUGUCAAUUUCUUAAUAAUAGAAUUUAAGUGAAAAAAUGUAAGUGAAAACUUGAACGUUAUAGCCAAC
ensembl:lncRNA